GGACAGAAAGACCCUAUGAAGCUUUACUGCAGCCUGGAGUUGGGUUUGGGCCCCUCUUGCGCAGCCUAAGUGGGAGGCAUCGAUCGUCCCCCCCCGGGAGGGCAGGAGCCAUCAUUGAGAGACCACUCUGGAGGGGCUAGGAUCCUAAAACCGAUCCUUGAAGCAGGAGGGUUGACAGCUUCAGGUGGGCAGUUUGACUGGGGCGGUCACCUCCUAAACGGUAACGGAGGUGUGCAAAGGUUCCCUCAGGCUGGACGGAAAUCAGCCGUAGAGUGCAAAGGCAAAAGGGAGCUUGACUGCAAGACCUACAAGUCGAACAGGGUGGAAACACGGCCUUAGUGAUCCGACGGCACAGCAUGGAAUGGCCGUCGCUCAACGGAUAAAAGUUACUCUAGGGAUAACAGGCUG
rnacentral:rRNA from 1 species